AUCUUAAUUAUCUCAUCUAACCAAGGCUAGGUUAUUUUGAGUAAAACUCAAGUUGUUGCUUUUUUAAUGCAGGUAGUUUUGAUUAUUGAUGUUUGAGGUAAAGAGUAUAUUAUAUUGCAUGGUUCCGUUUCCAUGGUGAUCCAGACUGUAAACAAACAACACUUCAGUAGCCGUACUUUUAACUUGUGUAAAUAAAUACUUAAGUAACAUUUUUGCUUUUAUUAAAAUACUUACAAAAUAAUAAUAAGUGCUCAGUGAUAGCUAGAAUAACAUGAAUCAUGGAAAAAGAAUUAGAUUUAAGCAUUAUAAAAGCUACUCAAUUGUCUCUUGGGAAAUACGUAAAACGUCCUCCACUAUCCGAUAAACUAUUAAAAAAACCACCAUUUCGUUUCUUACACGAUAUUGUAACUUCAGUAUUAAAAUCAACAGGAUUUUUUGAAGGUUUAUUUGAAGACCAUGAACUUAAAUCUGAUAAUGUCAAAGACAGAGAAGCAAAAAUUACAUUUUUGAAUAAAGUUAUUUAUGUAAUCAGUAGAACUGUUGGUAAAGACUUGCACGUAAAGCCUUCAAAGAUAGUUGCUGGACAAGAACCUGAAAAAACAAAUGAGCUAUUGCAAUGCUUGGCAGAAGCUUUAGAUAAAAAACUUACAUCAAAAGAUGCUGUCAGAAAAUCUCGAGAAACCACUGACGACAAGAAAAAUGUUUCUAAAGGGAAAGAAAUAUCUAAGUCAAAAGAAAAUACAAAAAUCGAGAAAAGUGGUCAUACAUCUAAUAAACGGAUUAAAUUAAAAGAAAAUAAUAUCAAACAAAAACCAGACUCAUCCAAAAAUAUUUCACAACAAAUCUUAACCGACGCUAAAGAUGUCAAGGGAAAAAAACAUAAAGUUUUGCAUGACAAUAUCAAAGAGAAUAUCAAUGAAGAAGUUCCACGCAAUGAUAAUAAUUAUAAUAUUAAUCCUCUUAAAGAAACUCUGCCUUUAGCCGGAGCUAUACAAAAUGAUAAUAUAGAUACAAUCAGUGAUAAAAAUAGCAGCAAUGAUGGGCAAGAAAACGUUGAUAGAGAAUGCAUAGAAUUUCCAGAAUCUGAUACUUCUAUCUAUCCUAAGACCAAUAAAGAAAUUGAAUCAGUAGAGCAUGGCGUUAAUAGUACUAAUUAUGACCCUGUCAAUCCUGAAAAAAUUGAAGUUGAGAAAAUAUCAGAUCGAAGUUUUAAUGAAAAUUCAAAAACGGCAGAUUAUUCUGAUACAAAAUCCCAAGGAGAACCUGAAAAAUUUAAAAAUAUGGAAAUUUCUAAUGCCAGUAUAGAAAAUUAUAUUACCAGUAAUAGACCUUCUAGUGUCAGACCUUCGUCGUCCCGUCCAGGUGCACCUAAAGUGCGAGAUAAACAAGAUUACAGGACUCUACCCGAUGCUGAAAAUAUUGCGAUUGGUAAAGUUAAUAUUAUUUCAGAAAAUGUGCUGCUGGAAGAGGACGAAGAAUCUACAUUGGUUAUAGAAAAUUAUACUGAUGAUAUUAAAUCUCACCACGCGCAUGACUUAGACCAACACGGUCAUUUGGUUCAACAAAUUUUAGAUUCACAAAAAGAAUUUACCCAAGUUAAUAAAACUGAAAUUGACUGGACAAGUGGAUCACAGAAAACUAGAGAUGAUUUCAGUAGAGAGAUAGAACAAAUACGGUUUAAUGUUCAAGCACUGUCUCGUGUCGCAAAUCCAUUGGGGAAAAUUCUUGAUCAUAUUCAAGAAGACGUUGAAGUCAUGCGCCAAGAAUUGUCUCAGUGGUUGCAGAUUUAUAACGAAACAACAAAAAAGUUGUUAAAACAGAAAGCAUUAAAUGAGGAGAUAAUUGCGCCACUGCGCGUAAAGUCAACACAGUUGGAAAUGGACAUUUCAGAAAAAUAUAAAAAAAUUGACACUAUGAAAAUAAUUGUUUAUAAAAAUAAUACAAAAAUUGACAAGUUACUAGCGAAUGAGCAUAUUAAAUAAAGUAGUUAAAUAAUGAAAUAAAAAUAGUAGCAUUAUUAUAGCUAUUGAAAUUGUUGAUAAGUAUAUACACUUAAUACUUGAGGUAAACUUUAGGAUACCACACCAAAUCGUCAUUUAUUUUAGGGUAAUUUCAUAAAUCACUAUUUUAAUAAUAAUUAAUAUCUAAUGUAAGUUUAUUUUUUUAUAAAUGUUAAUUUUUUUAUUGUUAAAGACACCCAAUCUCGUUUUUUAAUAAGAGCUUUAAGAGUUUGUUUUCAGUAUCUUAUGAUAAAAUAUAUUAAAUACUUAUUAUUAUGUCGAGAUAACUUAUAUAUUCGUAUGAAGUAGGUGUGUUUCAAAAGACACAUAUUUCAUGCUUGAUUAACACGCAACUCCGCAAACGCCUGUAUUCCGUAUGCAUACAAAUUAACUAUGGAAUAUUUCGGCAAUACAUUGCGCAGAGGUGAUAAUAACUUGGAGAAACUGAUCGUGGUUGGUGACACAGAAUGCGAAAGAUCACGUGGCCGUUUACUUACCACAUAGAUCUAUCAGGAGAAAGACUCAUCGUAUUCAAAACUGUACACUGUAAUAAGAAAGGCGCUGGACAGGCAAACAGGUAGUUUGCUCCUGAUGUUUCCUUGCUGUCCACGAUGCUCAGACAUGAGCUACUGACUGAAGAGAGAGAAGAGAGUUAAUUUGAAUCUGUGUGAUAUUCUGAAUACCCUUUCAGGUGUAGUAGGAAAUAAACCUGAAUAUAAGCACCAGCAAUAAGGCAUUACCAGCCACCGAAGAAAUGUGAUAUGACGUCGAAGAAACCAAUUCCGAGAUUUCUAUUCCGAAACUAUACUUUUCUCUUCUCUAGACGCAUAAUCGAAAAUAUAUUUUGUGGUGCUCACUGUAUUCGAUUUUUGUAAUGUUACACACAAUACACAAUUCGAAAGUCUCUCGUAAAGGUUCGUUAGAACUUCUUUCUCUUCGGUACUCGACGACAUGACUGUAUACUAUAUAUAUGUACAUUGAUGUAUCUAUUUUACUGCAGUUUACCUUUAAUAUAAAUGUUAUAUCAAAUUUAAGUGGUGGGAAAUUUCUCGCAUGAAAAAUAGGAUUUCUCAACAAAAAGAGCUACGAUUAUUUCUGAUUCUUCUCUGACGAAUUUUGAAAAUGCCUAUUAGAGGGUAGCCUUAUACGUUAAUUAACUAUGAAACUUUUUUUUUAUAUUAUGGCUUUCUAUGAAACUUUUGGCCAUCAGAUUGUAGUUUUUAUUACAUAAUAUAUGCUUAGCUAUGCUGUGCACCGUGUGCAUUGAAAUUGUGGUCUGUGUGGUGUUGUUGUUGGUUUUUAGUUUUUACUCUAGUCUGAACUCUCUACUAAGUAAUAACUACUACUUCUGCCUUCAUCUGUGCUGUUGUUUUUCAUUACUGCUUUGCUAUCAACUUAUCAAGUAUAAUUCUUAUAUUAUUUAAAGACAUUUAUGUCCACACUUCUUUGAUAUGUGAUAAAUUUCUAAUUGCAUUAUUAUGAUUUAACUCUGAUUCUACUUCGUAUCUCGUUCAGAUCCUUUACCUAAAACAAUAUGCAAGAAUUGCUUGGAACGUUUAGAGAACCAACAUAGACUUGUCAUGCGUAUCGAACAAGCAGCAAAUAUGCUUAAAGGCCAGAGAAGGGCAAGAGUUAG